UGAUAUUCCUGUACUACCGAUAACCGUUUGAGAGAAGGGAUGACACAGUAGGAUAAGCUAAGCACACUGUUGGUUAUGUGUGCCCAAGCAUUGAGGCGGUCAAAGUAGGCAAAUCCGCUUUGAUAAUGCUGGGAUGUGAUGGGGAGCGAAAUUUAGUAGCGAAGUAGCUGAUUUCACACUGUCAAGAAAAGUCUCUAUCGAGGUUAAAGGUACCCGUACCGCAAACCGACACAGGUGGGUGAGGAGAGUAUCCUAAGGCCAGCGAGAGAACUG
rnacentral:rRNA from 1 species